CCUACGGGUGGCUGCAGUGAGGAAUAUUGGUCAAUGGGCGCGAGCCUGAACCAGCCAAGCAGCGUGAAGGAUGACUGCCCUACGGGUUGUAAACUUCUUUUGUAAAGGAAUAAAGUGAGGCACGUGUGCCUUUUUGUAUGUACUUUAUGAAUAAGGAUCGGCUAACUCCGUGCCAGCAGCCGCGGUAAUACGGAGGGUCCGAGCGUUAUCCGGAUUUAUUGGGUUUAAAGGGAGCGUAGAUGGGUUGUUAAGUCAGUUGUGAAAGUUUGCGGCUCAACCGUAAGACUGCAAUUGAUACUGGCAGUCUAGAGUACAGUUGAGGUAGGCGGAAUUCGUGGUGUAGCGGUGAAAUGCUUAGAUAUCACGAAGAACUCCGAUGGCGAAGGCAGCUUACUAAACUGCCACUGACGUUGAGGCUCGAAAGUGUGGGUAUCAAACAGGAUUAGAUACCCGAGUAGUC
rnacentral:rRNA from 1 species